GAGCUGGAGCUCAGUGGUAGAGCACAUGCCUAGUACACGUGAGGCACUGAGUUCAAACCUCAGCACCACA
rnacentral:tRNA from 1 species